CCAGGGGCGCGCAAAUUACCCAAUCCCGACACGGGGAGGUAGUGACAAUAAAUACUGAUACGGGGCUCUUUCGGGUCUCGUAAUUGGAAUGAGAACAAUCUAAAUCCCUUAACGAGGAACAAUUGGAGGGCAAGUCUGGUGCCCCCACCCGCGGCAACUCCUGCUCCCAUAGCGUAUAUGAAAGUUGUUGCAGUUAAAAAGCUCCUGCUUGAACCUUGGGUCUGGCUGGCCGGUCCGCCUCACCGCGAGGUACUGGUCCGGCUGGAAUUUCCUUCUGGGGAGGCCCUGUGAUUCACUGGCUGUGGCGCUUACCGGGACUUUUUAACGCAAAAAAAGGCACCGGUUAUCCGUCGUCUUUGGGGUGACUCAUUGGACGUGCUGUCCUGUCCGAGAGGAUGCGCUCCGCUUUAGUACCUUUCAUGAACAGGCGGAUGGUGGAGAUUGAUUUUCCGGGGCGUCAAUAUUCUGCUUUCAAAAGUGAAAUUCUUGGAUUUUCUGAAGACUAACUACCGCGAAACCUUUUUCCAAAAA
rnacentral:rRNA from 1 species